rnacentral:rRNA from 1 species
CUACAAGACUUGGGUCGAGUGCAUGGCGUAAUUACCCGCUUGUCGGGUUGGGAACCUUGGUGGAUGUCGAGGUCCACCGCUUCUCGGCUGUAGCUCCACGGUUUGGAAGGGCAGCUACACCUGAGAACCCCUUCUAGUCGGACAAUAGGGAUCUCAUUGAAAAUAGGCAACUCGCUGCCGGGAAGGUGAGCCGUGGUAGCCUAGUGAUUCCGGCUGAAAGCAGAGACGAGCUGCCCACUCAGAACGUCAGUUCGAGGGAAGACGGAAACGUGAGCUCCUGGUUACAGGCAGACCGGUCUCCUUUGGAAACGUGUGGAGGCAAUGGAAAACCCUCCGGAUGCGGGGUAUCUUUGACAGAUGGACUCUGACAGGGAACCGGGCGCC